AUCACUCCUACGGGAGGCAGCAGUGGGGAAUAUUGCACAAUGGGCGCAAGCCUGAUGCAGCCAUGCCGCGUGUAUGAAGAAGGCCUUCGGGUUGUAAAGUACUUUCAGCAGUGAGGAAGGUGGUGUCGUUAAUAGCGGCAUCAUUUGACGUUAGCUGCAGAAGAAGCACCGGCUAACUCCGUGCCAGCAGCCGCGGUAAUACGGAGGGUGCGAGCGUUAAUCGGAAUUACUGGGCGUAAAGCGCAUGCAGGUGGUUUGUUAAGUCAGAUGUGAAAGCCCGGGGCUCAACCUCGGAAUUGCAUUUGAAACUGGCAGACUAGAGUACUGUAGAGGGGGUAGAAUUUCAGGUGUAGCGGUGAAAUGCGUAGAGAUCUGAAGGAAUACCGGUGGCGAAGGCGGCCCCCUGGACAGAUACUGACACUCAGAUGCGAAAGCGUGGGGAGCAAACAGGAUUAGAUACCCUGGUAG
rnacentral:rRNA from 1 species